GCUAUAUCAUGUUGAAACACCAGUUUUCGUACGAUCACCGAAGUUAAGCAACUUCGAACCUGGUUAGUAGAUGGUGAGGGCGCUUGGGAAUACCAGGAGCUGUAA